CAAAAAGUUCAGUACAAAAAACAGCUCCGUGCACAGUUCUUACAGAUGAUGCCAGUUACCAACCACUGGAGAAGCUGACCACAAGGUUUUACAGUGUGGGGGGAUGCUAUUGCUGUUCAGUGAUCAGUCACUAUAGCCUACAAUGGAAGAAGGUUUAGCAGUUCAUUGCAGCAGUCACCCAACAUGGAUUCUAAGUCUGGUUGUUGAGGUCAGAACAGCUACAUGGCUGCAGGUCUGUUGCUAUGCCUCAGACAUGCAUUCCUGUUGUUCUCUACGGUACACUAUGUCCCUGGUAGAGAAGCCAUAACCAUGCCUCUGUCAUCUGCAUUAUAUAUAUGCAUCAUUAGUGAUCUGUUUCAAUUCAUCAGUACUUCCAUUAAACUGGGAUUUCAAGCUUGCUUAGAGACUUAGAUACUUUCUCAAUAUAUUUCAGAAGUUCAAUGGGCCUCAA